UGGGAAUUUUGGACAAUGGGCGAAAGCCUGAUCCAGCAAUGCCGCGUGUGUGAAGAAGGCCUUCGGGUUGUAAAGCACUUUUGUCCGGAAAGAAAUCCUUGGCUCUAAUACAGUCGGGGGAUGACGGUACCGGAAGAAUAAGCACCGGCUAACUACGUGCCAGCAGCCGCGGUAAUACGUAGGGUGCAAGCGUUAAUCGGAAUUACUGGGCGUAAAGCGUGCGCAGGCGGUUUGCUAAGACCGAUGUGAAAUCCCCGGGCUCAACCUGGGAACUGCAUUGGUGACUGGCAGGCUAGAGUAUGGCAGAGGGGGGUAGAAUUCCACGUGUAGCAGUGAAAUGCGUAGAGAUGUGGAGGAAUACCGAUGGCGAAGGCAGCCCCCUGGGCCAAUACUGACGCUCAUGCACG
rnacentral:rRNA from 1 species